AUUAGAUAAAAAACCAAUGCCCUUCGGGGCUUUCUGGUGAUUCAUAAUAACUAAACGAAUCGCAUGGCCUUGAGCCGGCGAUGGUUCAUUCAAAUUUCUACCCUAUCAACUUUCGAUUGUAGGAUAGAGGCCUACAAUGGUUUCAACGGGUAACGGAGAAUUAGGGUUCGGUUCCGGAGAGGGAGCCUGAGAAACGGCUACCACAUCCAAGGAAGGCAGCAGGCGCGCAAAUUACCCAAUCCCGACACGGGGAGGUAGUGACAAUAAAUACUGAUACAGGGCUCUUUUGGGUCUUGUAAUUGGAAUGAGUACAAUUUAAAUCCCUUAACGAGGAACAAUUGGAGGGCAAGUCUGGUGCCAGCAGCCGCGGUAAUUCCAGCUCCAAUAGCGUAUAUUAAAGUUGUUGCAGUUAAAAAGCUCGUAGUUGAACUUGGGUUUGGCUGGCCGGUCCGCCUCACCGCGUGCACUGGUCCGCCCGGACUUUCCUCUUGGGGAUCCGCAUGCCCUUUAAUGG
rnacentral:rRNA from 1 species